GCACGAGAUCCGGAUUGGAGUGAAAUAUCUGGCCACGGGUAUAUCCUGAACAUAACGGAUACAGACCACGUCCGGGGUAACCAGCUAAAGGGGUUGAAACCUAGACGGUGACCAGAGAGGGCAAUCGGCCCAUAAGAGCCCUUGAGACCCCCCACCGUACGGUGAGUUGUGGGUCCACACCAUCUGAAAUUCCACUUCAUCCUGCUUCUUCUGCUCUCAUUGUCACACCCCCUGGGGGUGAGUCAUCAUGCCAACUUGGUCUCACAGAACUUCUGGGCUCGAUCAAGGAGGAAGGAUCACCCACUGUGGAAGAAGAAGGACCUGUGACAUCACCAGAGUGGCCUGAAAAGCCUUAGAAAAAAGGAUGCCUUAGGACAAGGUGUAUGAGGAAAGCUCUGGUGGACCUCUCUUGCAUAACCUGCUGUAACACCAUAAACUCCUGAAGAAGCUCAUCUGAGAAAAACUGGUAGAGUGGUCUUGAUGCAGCCAUUUUAUGCGUAUGGCCUAUUGUCAUAUACCCAACAUGAAUGGUUUCUUACAAAUGCUUGUUGUUUGUUUUUUACUCUUUAAAUAAACAUGUUAAAAUU